rnacentral:rRNA from 1 species
GACGAACGCUGGCGGCGUGCUUAACACAUGCAAGUCGAACGGUGAAGGGGUCUGCUUUUGUGGGCCCUGGAUGAGUGGCGAACGGGUGAGUAACACGUGAGUAACCUGCCCCCUUCUUCUGGAUAACCGCAUGAAAGUGUGGCUAAUACGGGAUAUUCUGGGUCUGUCGCAUGAUGGGUCUGGGAAAGAUUGCGCCUUUGGGUGUUUUUGGUGGGGGAUGGGCUCGCGGCCUAUCAGCUUGUGGGUGGGGUGAUGGCCUACCAAGGCGGUGACGGGUAGCCGGCUGGAGGGGGUGGACGCUGACAGUGGGACUGGGACACGGCCGAGACUCCUACGGGAGGCAGCAGUGGGGAAUAUUGCACAAUGGGCGCAAGCCUGAUGCAGCGACGCCGCGUGAGGGAUGGAGGCCUUCGGGUUGUAAGCCUCUUUCGCCAGUGAAGCAGGCCUGCUCCUUGUGGGUGGGUUGACGGUAGCUGGAUAAGAAGCGCCGGCUAACUACGUG